rnacentral:misc_RNA from 1 species
CAGAGUUGCAAAACUCCCUAAACCCUUGUGAACAUACCUGUAUGUCGUUGCUUCGGCGAGCAGCCCCUGGGAGGGGACUUGCCUCCUCGUGAGGUGUUCGCCGGAGGACCAUCAAAACUAUUGUAAUAAAUGGCCUCUAUGAGAAAACUUUUUAAAUAAGUAA